ACAAACGUCUAUGACCGCACCUACGUAUUUUUGCAUGUUUACAAUUCUAAUUCCGGUUCGUGGCAACAAUUACAAUUAAAUGUUGAUUGGCUGUUAAAAUUAAAAUUGUACAGUAAACAUGCAAAAAUAUGUAGGUGCGGUAGUAGACGUUUGU